GACAGAGGGUGCAAACGUUGUUCGGAAUUACUGGGCGUAAAGCGAGUGUAGGCGGUUUCAUAAGUCGGGUGUGAAAGCCCCGGGCUCAACCCGGGAAGUGCACUCGAAACUGAUGAGGCUAGAGUAUCGGAGAGGUUGGUGGAAUUCUCGGUGUAGAGGUGAAAUUCGUAGAUAUCGAGAGGAACACCGGUGGCGAAGGCGGCCAACUGGACGAAUACUGACGCUGAGACUCGAAAGCGUGGGGAGCAAACAGG
rnacentral:rRNA from 1 species